CACCAAAUUUCUGACUCAUGAUAAGAUUAAAAGGUUUUGUAAAGUCCCGUUUUUUAACCACAGUCCCUUUUAACUCACAAUUUUAAAGCUAAUAUUAAGGUUAUAUACACAGUGUCACAUUCUCAAAGUUGCUGAUAGUAUAUUUGCUCAGGUCAGUACACAUAUGUUUGAAUUUCCAUUAAAGGCUAGGCAUUUAAAUUGAGCUGUUAACGUAAACAUAAAGUCUAUGAUUUGUUGAAAUGAUUCCUGAAAUGAUUAAUUAAACACAGUUAGGGCCGGUGAGAAAACAAUUUGAGUGAAUUUUCGUGUGACGCGAUCACUAUAAAUUGAUGUGUGGCGUAAUACUGCAUCAUAACACUCUCCUGGGUGUGAAGGAACAAAGCGAAUCAUUUUCACAUCUUACUUCGAGAUACGAGAUUCGAUACCGUUGGAAUCUGUCGAGCGAAGUACGAGAGAAAAAAAUGAAGUUUGUGGUUGUUUUUAUCACUUUGUUCUUGGUUUGUUACACUGUAAGUACACUAUAGAAAGAAGUGAUUACAUCUUGGGAAACAUUACUUUUAAGUUUGCACUACAAAAUCAGCUCACAUGACCUUGCUAAGAUUACAGCAACCUCAGACAGACUCUCUCGUAAGCUUGUGUUUUGCUAUACCAAUCAGUGUCCAAUGCCAAGUAUUAUUUUAGUCAGUGUUGCGCGCAUGCCAUGCAUAUAUCAAACAAAAAAAAAAACAGUAAAAACUGUUAGAAGUAAUAGGCAAGCUGAAGUACUACGCAACAUUUUUUAUCUGAAAGGUCGUCCACCAGGAUAGCAUAGGCUGUUCAGUAUCUAUUCAAGAGAGGGCAUUCUCACUUGGUAAUCUUGAGUAUCAUCAGGGUUACCACAAGUAU